rnacentral:rRNA from 1 species
CAGCCGUAAACUAUGCUCGCUAGGUGUCAGGCAUGGCGCGACCGUGUCUGGUGCCGCAGGGAAGCCGUGAAGCGAGCCACCUGGGAAGUACGGCCGCAAGGCUGAAACUUAAGGAUUGGCGGGGGAGCACAACAACGGGUGGAGCCUGCGGUUAAUUGGACUCAACGCCGGACAACUCACCGGGGACGACAGCAAUAUGUAGGCCAGGCUGAAGACCUUGCCUGAAUCGCUGAGAGGAGGUGCAUGGCGUAGACGUCU